rnacentral:rRNA from 1 species
AUUGAACGCUAGCGGGAUGCCUUACACAUGCAAGUCGAACGGCAGCGCGGACUUCUGUCUGGCGGCGAGUGGCCAACGGGUGAGUAAUGUAUCGGAACAUGCCCAGUAGCUGGGGAUAACUACACGACAGCAUAGCUAAUACCGCAUACGCCAUACGUGGGAACGCCAGGGAUCGUAAGACCUUGCACUAUUGGCGCUGCCUAUAUCGGAUUAGCUAGUUGGUGAGGUAACGGCUCACCAAGGCGACGAUCCAUAGCUGGUCUGAGAGGACGACCAGCCACACUGGGACUGAGACACGGUCCAGACUCCUACGGGAGGCAGCAGUAGGGAAUUUUGGACAAUGGGGGCAAGCCUGAUGCAGCCACGCCGCGUGAGUGAUGAAGGCCUUCGGGUCGUAAAGCACUUUUGGCAGGAAAGAAACGACGCGGGAGAAUCCGCCGUGGAAUUGACGGUACCUGAAGAAUAAGCACCGGCUAACUACGUG